AAAUUGAAGAGUUUGAUCAUGGCUCAGAUUGAACGCUGGCGGCAGGCCUAACACAUGCAAGUCGAGCGGUAGCACAGAGAGCUUGCUCUCGGGUGACGAGCGGCGGACGGGUGAGUAAUGUCUGGGAAACUGCCUGAUGGAGGGGGAUAACUACUGGAAACGGUAGCUAAUACCGCAUAACGUCGCAAGACCAAAGUGGGGGACCUUCGGGCCUCAUGCCAUCAGAUGUGCCCAGAUGGGAUUAGCUGGUAGGUGGGGUAACGGCUCACCUAGGCGACGAUCCCUAGCUGGUCUGAGAGGAUGACCAGCCACACUGGAACUGAGACACGGUCCAGACUCCUACGGGAGGCAGCAGUGGGGAAUAUUGCACAAUGGGCGCAAGCCUGAUGCAGCCAUGCCGCGUGUGUGAAGAAGGCCUUCGGGUUGUAAAGCACUUUCAGCGGGGAGGAAGGCGGUGAGGUUAAUAACCUCACCGAUUGACGUUACCCGCAGAAGAAGCACCGGCUAACUCCGUGCCAGCAGCCGCGGUAAUACGGAGGGUGCAAGCGUUAAUCGGAAUUACUGGGCGUAAAGCGCACGCAGGCGGUCUGUCAAGUCGGAUGUGAAAUCCCCGGGCUCAACCUGGGAACUGCAUUCGAAACUGGCAGGCUAGAGUCUUGUAGAGGGGGGUAGAAUUCCAGGUGUAGCGGUGAAAUGCGUAGAGAUCUGGAGGAAUACCGGUGGCGAAGGCGGCCCCCUGGACAAAGACUGACGCUCAGGUGCGAAAGCGUGGGGAGCAAACAGGAUUAGAUACCCUGGUAGUCCACGCUGUAAACGAUGUCGAUUUGGAGGUUGUGCCCUUGAGGCGUGGCUUCCGGAGCUAACGCGUUAAAUCGACCGCCUGGGGAGUACGGCCGCAAGGUUAAAACUCAAAUGAAUUGACGGGGGCCCGCACAAGCGGUGGAGCAUGUGGUUUAAUUCGAUGCAACGCGAAGAACCUUACCUGGUCUUGACAUCCACAGAACUUUCCAGAGAUGGAUUGGUGCCUUCGGGAACUGUGAGACAGGUGCUGCAUGGCUGUCGUCAGCUCGUGUUGUGAAAUGUUGGGUUAAGUCCCGCAACGAGCGCAACCCUUAUCCUUUGUUGCCAGCGGUCCGGCCGGGAACUCAAAGGAGACUGCCAGUGAUAAACUGGAGGAAGGUGGGGAUGACGUCAAGUCAUCAUGGCCCUUACGACCAGGGCUACACACGUGCUACAAUGGCAUAUACAAAGAGAAGCGACCUCGCGAGAGCAAGCGGACCUCAUAAAGUAUGUCGUAGUCCGGAUUGGAGUCUGCAACUCGACUCCAUGAAGUCGGAAUCGCUAGUAAUCGUAGAUCAGAAUGCUACGGUGAAUACGUUCCCGGGCCUUGUACACACCGCCCGUCACACCAUGGGAGUGGGUUGCAAAAGAAGUAGGUAGCUUAACCUUCGGGAGGGCGCUUACCACUUUGUGAUUCAUGACUGGGGUGAAGUCGUAACAAGGUAACCGUAGGGGAACCUGCGGUUGGAUCACCUCCUUA
rnacentral:rRNA from 1 species